rnacentral:antisense_RNA from 1 species
CUUCAGCGAGCCGAGCCACAGCGGGCGGCCCUCCUCGCGCCCCUGCCCGUAGGUCGCCAGCAGGGCGCCCGCCUC